GUUCUUAUAGUUGAAUUACAACGGUGAUUUUUCAGAUCAUUGGUCUAGGUUAAAAUUCUAGUUGGAGUA
rnacentral:tRNA from 1 species